rnacentral:lncRNA from 1 species
UACAUACCCGUUAUGGUAUGUUAUGGUAUGUAUGUAGCUAUUCAUUCAUACCUGUUAUUCGUUUGACAACUUGGACUUUCCAGUUCUGAAAGCUUUUUUUUUUUUUUUAUUCCAGUUUCCAGUCCUGCAAGCUUUUCAUACAUAUCAGUAGGUAUCAUCACAAUAAUUUAGAAGAAAAGUGUUGUUUCAGUAAUAUUUGGCACAGGGCUAAAGAGUCCCAGAGUACCAGAGUCCAGGCUCAAGCAAUAGGACGUCUGACAAGAGAAGAAAGAAAAUCCUGAUGGAGACAGAUCUGCAGCACAGUGAACCAACAGGAUAGUAGGUCUUCAGAAGUAUAAAUACUUCCACAAGACACAAAGGUCCUGAAUCCAAUCUCCAGUAUGAUAUUCUCCAAUGUUAGAAAUCACUUUAGCAGUUUUAAUAGCAGUAAGCAAUAAACCUUAAAUGUACCCAAACUGCUUUUUAUCC